UACGGAGGGUGCAAGCGUUAUCCGGAUUCACUGGGUUUAAAGGGUGCGUAGGUGGAUUGGUAAGUCAGUGGUGAAAUCUCCGGGCUUAACCCGGAAACUGCCAUUGAUACUAUCAGUCUUGAAUACCGUGGAGGUCAGUAGAAUAUGUCAUGUAGCGGUGAAAUGCUUAGAUAUGACAUAGAACACCAAUUGCGAAGGCAGCUCACUACGCGAAUAUUGACACUGAGGCACGAAAGCGUGGGGAUCAAACAGG
rnacentral:rRNA from 1 species